UUCUUGCCGUGGUAUUGCUUCUAAAAUCUCUCACUAAAUCAGCCAGCUCUUCUGCUUGUCCUUAUUUUGUUUAAUAUUCCUUGAUUGUUAUGAUGAGUUGAGAAGGCCGACACUUGACGGAUGGUAAGCUUUUCCUCACAAGCUCUCAACGAAUAUAUUCGUUGUAAUUAGGCUAUGAUUUUGGUUGAUGAAUCAAUUCAGUAGUUCAGUGUAGAAUGCGUAUUUUGUUGUAGAAUGUGUAGUGCCUGUAAAUGUGCCUCUCCUCAACUUUGGUUUCUUGAGAAUUUUACUCUCAAGGCACUAUCAAAGGGAAUGUGGUAGGGGAAAGGAGAAAAGAUACUUAAUACGACCGUGCAAACUAAUAAUGACCAUUGUUAAGCAGUAUCUUGGUGCAAGUUGCCAUCUCCUUGAUCUUUUUUUUGUCCAGGAUUGGCUGAUGUGUUUCUUUCUUUGCUCGUUUGAACUGCAGCAGCUAUGGCGUGGUGGAGGUGGAGCUCGUCUUGCCUGACAGCCCCUUCGCAUCCCCCACCAAGGAGGAGGCCUCAUGCGCUGAUGCUGUCACCGCUGCAGCCGCUCGGAAUGGCAGCAGCAGCAGCCCUCGCCAUGUCCCAUGUGGCUUCACCGUCCCUUUUCGCACCCGCGUCUUCCACCACCCUCGACCUGCCCCCCUACAGCUCCUCCUGCUUCUUUCAGGUGCCCAGGUUUUCUCCUGGGCAUGAAGCCAUUGGGCUGUGAUGUGUGAGGUGCACGGAGCAAAAAAAGAGGGAGGGGACCUCCAUUCCUCUAAUCUGGGAGCUGGAAACAUACUGCUUGAUCAAGAUAAAGGAGUCAAACUAUCGGAUUUUGGAGUUACCGCCAGCCUUUAUGACUCAAUAAUCAAUAGACACGGCAAAAGGAAGACACUUGUUGGGACGCCUUGUUGGAUGGCCCCUAAAGUUAUGGAGCAAAAGGAUUACGAUUUCAAGGCAGAUAUUUGGUUGUUUGGCAUUACUGCACUUGAACUUGCUAUUGGCCAUGCACCAUUUUCUAUCCAACCUCCAGCAAAGGUUUUUCUCAUGACGUUGCAACAUGCCCCUCCAUAACUUCAUAACACAAAGGAGAAGAAGUUUUCAGACGUAUGGUUUCAAAAAUAUUUUCUAAGAAAUUAAUUGUGUGUGACUAUUGAAUCAUUUCUUGUCUUGUUUUGUAGUCUUUUAAGAGUC